GGAAUGUAGCAAUACAUUUAGUGGCGAACGGGUGAGUAACGCGUGGAUGAUCUACCUACGAGAUGGGGAUAACUAUUAGAAAUAGUAGCUAAUACCGAAUAARGUCAAUYAAUUUGUUAAUUGAUGAAAGGAAGCCUUUAAAGCUUCGCUUGUAGAUGAGUCUGCGUCUUAUUAGCUAGUUGGURGGGUAAAUGCCUACCAAGGCGAUGAUAAGUAACCGGCCUGAGAGGGUGAACGGUCACACUGGAACUGAGAUACGGUCCAGACUCCUACGGGAGGCAGCAGCUAAGAAUCUUCCGCAAUGGGCGAAAGCCUGACGGAGCGACACUGCGUGAAUGAAGAAGGUCGAAAGAUUGUAAAAUUCUUUUAUAAAUGAGGAAUAAGCUUUGUAGGAAAUGACRAAGYGAUGACGUUAAUUUAUGAAUAAGCCCCGGCUAA
rnacentral:rRNA from 1 species